rnacentral:rRNA from 1 species
CCUACGGGCGGCUGCAGUGGGGAAUAUUGGACAAUGGGGGGAACCCUGAUCCAGCCAUGCCGCGUGUGUGAAGAAGGCCCUCGGGUUGUAAAGCACUUUCAGUGAGGAAGAACGCCUGGUGGUUAAUACCCAUCAGGAAAGACAUCACUCACAGAAGAAGCACCGGCUAACUCCGUGCCAGCAGCCGCGGUAAUACGGAGGGUGCGAGCGUUAAUCGGAAUUACUGGGCGUAAAGCGCGCGUAGGUGGCUUGAUAAGCCGGUUGUGAAAGCCCCGGGCUCAACCUGGGAACGGCAUCCGGAACUGUCAAGCUAGAGUGCAGGAGAGGACGGUAGAAUUCCCGGUGUAGCGGUGAAAUGCGUAGAGAUCGGGAGGAAUACCAGUGGCGAAGGCGGCCUUCUGGACUGACACUGACACUGAGGUGCGAAAGCGUGGGUAGCAAACAGGAUUAGAUACCCUAGUAGUC